UGGGGAAUAUUGCGCAAUGGGGGAAACCCUGACGCAGCGACGCCGUGUGAGGGAAGAAGGCUUUCGGGUCGUAAACCUCUGUCAGGAAGGAAGAACCUCUCAAGGCUGAACAAGCCUUGGGACUGACGGUACUUCCAGAGGAAGCACCGGCUAACUACGUGCCAGCAGCCGCGGUAAUACGUAGGGGGCAAGCGUUGUCCGGAUUUACUGGGUGUAAAGGGUGCUCAGGCGGAUUUGUAAGUCAGAGGUGAAAUCUUACAGCUUAACUGUGAAACUGCCUUUGAUACGGCAAGCCUAGAGUAUGGAAGAGAGUGAUGGAAUAUCUGGUGUAGCAGUGAAAUGCGUAGAUAUCAGAUAGAACACCAAUGGCGAAGGCAGUCACUUGGUCCAUUACUGACGCUAAAGCACGAAAGCGUGGGUAGCAAACA
rnacentral:rRNA from 1 species